rnacentral:rRNA from 1 species
CCUACGGGAGGCAGCAGUGGGGAAUAUUGCACAAUGGGGGGAACCCUGAUGCAGCAACGCCGCGUGGGUGAAGAAGGAUUUCGGAAUGUAAAGUCCUGUUAGGAGGGAAGAUGGUGACGGUAUCUCACGAAGAAGCCCCGGCUAACUACGUGCCAGCAGCCGCGGUAAUACGUAGGGGGCAAGCGUUACUCGGAUUUACUGGGCGUAAAGGGUGCGGAGGCGGGCUUGUAAGUCAGAAGUGAAAUCCCGUAGCUUAACUACGGGACUGCAUUUGAAACUAUGAGUCUAGAGUGCGGGAGAGGUAGGUGGAAUUCCUGGUGUAGGGGUAAAAUGCGUAGAUAUUAAGAGGAACACUCAUGGCGAAGGCGACCUACUGGAAUAUUACUGACGUUGAGGCUCGAAGGCGUGGGGAGCAAACAGGAUUAGAUACCCCGGUAGUC